rnacentral:snRNA from 1 species
UUUUCGCUGAAAAUGUUGAAAUU